AGGGAAACCGAGUCUUAAUUGGGCGUUAAGUUGCAGGGUAUAGACCCGAAACCCGGUGAUCUAGCCAUGGGCAGGUUGAAGGUUGGGUAACACUAACUGGAGGACCGAACCGACUAAUGUUGAAAAAUUAGCGGAUGACCUGUGGCUGGGGGUGAAAGGCCAAUCAAACCGGGAGAUAGCUGGUUCUCCCCGAAAGCUAUUUAGGUAGCGCCUCGUGAAUUCAUCUCCGGGGGUAGAGCACUGUUUCGGCUAGGGGGCCAUCCCGGCUUACCAACCCGAUGCAAACUGCGAAUACCGGAGAAUGUUAUCACGGGAGACACACGGCGGGUGCUAACGUCCGUCGUGAAGAGGGAAACAACCCAGACCGCCAGCUAAGGUCCCAAAGUCAUGGUUAAGUGGGAAACGAUGUGGGAAGGCCCAGACAGCCAGGAUGUUGGCUUAGAAGCAGCCAUCAUUUAAAGAAAGCGUAAUAGCUCACUGGUCGAGUCGGCCUGCGCGGAAGAUGUAACGGGGCUAAACCAUGCACCGAAGCUGCGGCAGCGACGCUGAUGCGUUGUUGGGUAGGGGAGCGUUCUGUAAGCCUGUGAAGGUGGCCUGUGAGGGUUGCUGGAGGUAUCAGAAGUGCGAAUGCUGACAUAAGUAACGAUAAAGCGGGUGAAAAGCCCGCUCGCCGGAAGACCAAGGGUUCCUGUCCAACGUUAAUCGGGGCAGGGUGAGUCGACCCCUAAGGCGAGGCCGAAAGGCGUAGUCGAUGGGAAACGGGUUAAUAUUCCCGUACUUGGUGUUACUGCGAAGGGGGGACGGAGAAGGCUAUGUUGGCCGGGCGACGGUUGUCCCGGUUUAAGCGUGUAGGUGUGUGUUCCAGGUAAAUCCGGUUCACUUUAACACUGAGGCGUGACGACGAGGCACUACGGUGCUGAAGCAACAAAUGCCCUGCUUCCAGGAAAAGCCUCUAAGCAUCAGGUAACAUCAAAUCGUACCCCAAACCGACACAGGUGGUCAGGUAGAGAAUACCAAGGCGCUUGAGAGAACUCGGGUGAAGGAACUAGGCAAAAUGGUGCCGUAACUUCGGGAGAAGGCACGCUGACACGUAGGUGAAGUGAUUUACUCAUGGAGCUGAAGUCAGUCGAAGAUACCAGCUGGCUGCAACUGUUUAUUAAAAACACAGCACUGUGCAAACACGAAAGUGGACGUAUACGGUGUGACGCCUGCCCGGUGCCGGAAGGUUAAUUGAUGGGGUCAGCGCAAGCGAAGCUCCUGAUCGAAGCCCCGGUAAACGGCGGCCGUAACUAUAACGGUCCUAAGGUAGCGAAAUUCCUUGUCGGGUAAGUUCCGACCUGCACGAAUGGCGUAAUGAUGGCCAGGCUGUCUCCACCCGAGACUCAGUGAAAUUGAACUCGCUGUGAAGAUGCAGUGUACCCGCGGCAAGACGGAAAGACCCCGUGAACCUUUACUAUAGCUUGACACUGAACAUUGAGCCUUGAUGUGUAGGAUAGGUGGGAGGCUUUGAAGUGUGGACGCCAGUCUGCAUGGAGCCGACCUUGAAAUACCACCCUUUAAUGUUUGAUGUUCUAACGUGGACCCGUGAUCCGGGUUGCGGACAGUGUCUGGUGGGUAGUUUGACUGGGGCGGUCUCCUCCUAAAGAGUAACGGAGGAGCACGAAGGUUGGCUAAUCCUGGUCGGACAUCAGGAGGUUAGUGCAAUGGCAUAAGCCAGCUUGACUGCGAGCGUGACGGCGCGAGCAGGUGCGAAAGCAGGUCAUAGUGAUCCGGUGGUUCUGAAUGGAAGGGCCAUCGCUCAACGGAUAAAAGGUACUCCGGGGAUAACAGGCUGAUACCGCCCAAGAGUUCAUAUCGACGGCGGUGUUUGGCACCUCGAUGUCGGCUCAUCACAUCCUGGGGCUGAAGUAGGUCCCAAGGGUAUGGCUGUUCGCCAUUUAAAGUGGUACGCGAGCUGGGUUUAGAACGUCGUGAGACAGUUCGGUCCCUAUCUGCCGUGGGCGCUGGAGAACUGAGGGGGGCUGCUCCUAGUACGAGAGGACCGGAGUGGACGCAUCACUGGUGUUCGGGUUGUCAUGCCAAUGGCACUGCCCGGUAGCUAAAUGCGGAAGAGAUAAGUGCUGAAAGCAUCUAAGCACGAAACUUGCCCCGAGAUGAGUUCU
rnacentral:rRNA from 1 species